rnacentral:rRNA from 1 species
GACGGACGCUGGCGGCGUGCUUAACACAUGCAAGUCGAACGAUGACGACCGAGCUUGCUCGGUCUGAUUAGUGGCGAACGGGUGAGUAACACGUGAGCAACCUGCCCUUCACUCUGGGAUAACCUAGGGAAAUCGGGGCUAAUACCGGAUAUGAGCUCCUGUCGCAUGGCGGGUGUUGCAAAGUUUUUCGGUGCAGGAUGGGCGCGCGGCCUAUCAGUUUGUUGGUGAGGUAGUGGCUCACCAAGGCGAUGACGGGUAGCCGGCCUGGGAGGGCGACCGGCCACACUGGGACUGAGACACGGCCCAGACUCCUACGGGAGGCAGCAGUGGGGAAUAUUGCACAAUGGGCGAAAGCCUGAUGCAGCGACGCCGCGUGAGGGAUGACGGCCUUCGGGUUGUAAACCUCUUUCAGCAGGGAAGAAGCGAAAGUGACGGUACCUGCAGAAGAAGCGCCGGCUAACUACGUG